rnacentral:miRNA from 1 species
AUGUAUAUUUGAGUGUAUAUGGGUUUGAGGGUGUGUAGGACUACAUACACACACACAUACACACAUACACACACACACACACACACACACAC